GACAGAGGGGGCAAGCGUUGCUCGGAAUCACUGGGCGUAAAGGGCGCGUAGGCGGGAUGGCAAGUCGGUCGUGAAAUCUCUCGGCUCAACCGAGAAACGUCGGCCGAUACUGCCGUUCUUGAGGGAUGCAGAGGAGACUGGAAUUCCCGGUGUAGCGGUGAAAUGUGUAGAGAUCGGGAGGAACACCGGUGGCGAAGGCGGGUCUCUGGGCAUUUCCUGACGCUGAGGCGCGAAGCGUGGGGAGCAAACGGG
rnacentral:rRNA from 1 species